UUAUUAAGGCAAAUGAAAUGGGCUGAAGCCCAAAUGCUCUCAUCUAAACCUAAUACCAUAAUCUCCUCUCUAACUCUCAUUAUCUCACACUGUCUCCUUAUCAAUCUCACCUCUCGUCUCUCUCUCUCUUACCCUCAUCUCGCUUUCUCUCGGCAAUGGGGGCUCAACGGGGUUGUAGGGGGCUCAACAACACACAGUAGCGCGGGUUUUAAGGUAAUCUCUUUAUCUCUUUCAUUUUUUUUACUCUCUGUUUUGUUCUCUCUUCUUUGUAGGUGGCGGGGCUUGCGCAGAGGCUCAACGGAGCUGUAGGGAGCUCGGCGACACGGGUUUAGGGCUCUCACUCUCGGGGGAUGUUCAAUGAGGCUCGCGAAUGGAUUGUUCGACGGGGUUGAGGGUUCGCAACGGAGUUUGGACUCAGGGUAAAAUUUUUUUUGAAGAGAACCAAGACAAUUAUACAAGAGAACCAAGGCAGCAAGAAAUUCUUAGUUGUUGGGUAUUAUUUUCUUUCUUGCUUGUAAGAAUUAUGUACAGUGAGGAUUUGAUGUAUUAUUUACAUUGAGAAUAAUGAAUUUUUAUUGAGAAUUAUUUA